rnacentral:rRNA from 1 species
UACGUAGGGUGCGAGCGUUAAUCGGAAUUACUGGGCGUAAAGCGUGCGCAGGCGGUUUUGUAAGUCAGAUGUGAAAUCCCCGGGCUUAACCUGGGAACUGCGUUUGAAACUACAAGGCUAGAGUGUGGCAGAGGGGGGUGGAAUUCCACGUGUAGCAGUGAAAUGCGUAGAGAUGUGGAGGAACACCGAUGGCGAAGGCAGCCCCCUGGGCUGACACUGACGCUCAGGCACGAAAGCGUGGGGAGCAAACAGG